CUCCCGCUGCAGAUUUGGGUACUGGGGACGUGGCAAAGCAAAGUCUGCGGAGGAAAAGGGCACGGCACCCCCUGAGGCAAGGAAAUAAGAAAGCUGCCUCUGAUCCAAGCAGAGCAGGUCCAACUUCAGUGGCAGAUCUGGUGUCCUUGGAGUGGCUGAAGACCACCACCCUCCACAGGGCUGCGCUCAGGCACACAGCCAUUCUUCCCUUACCUGAGUGAGCUUCCUCUGCACGUUGUUUAUAUCAUUGGCAGAGCCUGUAGUUGGAAAGGGGGCCGAGUGACGAAUGGACUUUGUAUGAAAACACCAACCUGGGACAGACCUUCAGUCAAGGUUGAGAUGGGGUUGGGGUAUAUAACCUGGCCUUGCCUUUAACUUGGAUCAUGAUUGGCUCUGAGGCUAA